GGUCUGCUGCUUCUUCAAUCACUUAAUCAUCAUAAAAUGCCACGCAAUGUUCGAACGCGUUGCUUAAUAGCGACAGUAUUGAUUAUGGCAGUGUUGAUAUCGUCUAUGUUUUCGUCUGGUAUCGUCAAAAGUAUGAUGACUGUUAGUUACGAGGGCGAGAAGCUGAAAAGCGUGCAUUCUCACGAUGGUCACUAGAUAACUAUAAGUUACCUUAUGAUAAGAGGGCCAUAGCACACUAUAUUACUGUUACAAGAUUAUCUACUUCGCUGGACAAGUAUUUUAUAAAUAUUCUCCCUUAUAUACAAACAAUGGAUUACUUUUAUGUAAAAUCGUACAGUGCCAUGGGCAUAUCCAGAUUUGAAUAUUUACUGUAUGUUCCGCUUUUGAACAAGUUCAUGGUGAGAUGUAAAGAUACUGGUUUGAUGAUUAAAUGGGAAUGGGAUGCAUUUAGGAACGAAAAUAAAAUGGCCACAUUAAUUGAAUAUUUGGACACUCGUGUGCCACCGAGUAAGCCUACCCAGUUGCAGUUUGAUCAUCUGCGUGCAGUAUUUGGUAUGUGGUUUAUUGGAAAUACUUUUGGAUUACUGACAUUUGCGUUGGAACAGUU